rnacentral:rRNA from 1 species
CAGUAGCCGCGGGAAUACGAAGGGUGCAAGCGUUACUCGGAAUUACUGGGCGUAAAGCGUGCGUAGGUGGUGGUUUAAGUCCGUUGUGAAAGCCCUGGGCUCAACCUGGGAAUUGCAGUGGAUACUGGAUCACUAGAGUGUGGUAGAGGAUAGUGGAAUUUCCGGUGUAGCAGUGAAAUGCGUAGAGAUCGGAAGGAACACCUGUGGCGAAGGCGACUAUCUGGGCCAACACUGACACUGAGGCACGAAAGCGUGGGGAGCAAACAGGAUUAGAUACCCCUGUAGUCCCUGUCUCUUAUAA